rnacentral:lncRNA from 1 species
CCGGGUUUCACACUGGCAAGGCAGGAGGCUGUGUGCUGCCAGAACGACCAGCAGGGGGCGCAAAGGCCACGCCAGGCACCUGCUGGCCUCAGAGAAAACAGAAAGGGAACCAGGAAGCCCACUCCUGCUGUCCUUUCUCUGCAAGGAAAUGUGCCAGGGCACUGCAGCCCAGACAGUCGGCAGUAGAGGACCCAUGAAGUAUCUUUGUGCAAAGAAAGCAGCAAAGAGAAUUAAGAGAAUUGCAUCAUAUAAAGAGUGAAUUAAACCAUCUAAAGGAGCAAAAAUUCAUCAUCACAUGGACAAGAAAUUAAGACCAGCUGGAAACCUAGGAGCAGAAGCCCAGCAUAAAGAUCUCUGAAAGCCUGGAUGCGUGGAUUCCUCUCUUACUUCCCAAAACGGUGGGGUGGAAAUGUGAAUAUCAGCAUGAUGCACAGAUCUCUGCAGAUGUCCAGCGAACUGAAUUUCUAGACGCUAUAAUCUAUGUUCUUUCCCAACCCCCACUUCAGUUUACAUAUCGCAGGCCAUAGAUCCUGUUUGUUGAAAAGCGAUCAGCUAGAAAACAAGAGUGGUUAUAACCUGUGCUGCCCAGUGAUCAGGAAAAGAGAGCGGAUGAAACUUCCAUGACUUUCUGUUAGUCUGAUUAAUAUCCAUGCCAAAUCCAUUUUCAGGGCAGAAGUGCUUUACCCACUUCAUUGAGAAACCACCUUUGCAUGCAGUACCCUGAGCUGUCUUCAGCACACCAAGCAUCCACAACAUGGGAAAUACCGUGCUUUAAAUGUUGCUUUAAUCACAGUGCUCAUGAGUAAGGGCAUGUCCUGUCUCUUAUCCAUGAAAACACUCCCACAAAAUGAAGUCACACCCAGUAUCUGUUAACGGAGAUACUGAGUGGGUGAAGAAGACUCAUUCCCUAAUGCAAUUCAGGUCACACAGGGUAAAAAAGAAAAAAAAAUCCUUUUCUGUUGAGGAUACAGAUGGAGAGAAAAUGGAAAAUGCCUUUCAGGAAGCACAAGCCUAGUUUUCUAAUUGUGUUUCAGUGAACACGCAGGUGAACUUACCUGUGUGGCUUGGUAUUGUGGUGGGUUUUCAGCUUCUUCUCCACCAAAUCCUUUGAAAAGCAGCAGUGGCAGAAACAAAUAACCCAAUUAAAAACAAUAAUAGCAACAAUAAAAAAAGAAAAGAUGAAGAAAGCAGUGGUUUUCUUUGGCUAGCUGAGGAACUUUCUACUAGGCGUUAGCAAUCUCUUUGUAAACUUUUUUCUUUACAGCAAAUGCUUCAUUCUCUAGACACAUGUCAAGAAUUUUCAAGCAUCGCCAGACUCAAUUCUUCACCCCCAUGUUAACAAUUAAAGAAUCAGCCGAAUGCCUGUGUUUAAGAAUCAAGCCCCUGAAACCUGUGAUUUGUACGUUACUCACACCCUCUAGUCCUAUUAGCAAGAGAUGCUGGGAGAACUUCUUGGUCAUCAAUUUGAUGAGUUCCAAGGGGAAUGUGGGUUUUGGUUGUGAUGUUCAUACACAUAGAAAUCUGGCUGAACACACGUACCUAAG